GUUGUGGUUUGGUUUAGAAAGGUAUUAACAGUCUGUCACUCUGUUGAAGGCACCGGUAGCACACUGGACAUUAUUGUAGUUGAAACAAACUAUGAAGAAUAUAUCAUGCUAUACACCGGCAUUACCAAAGGCUUAGAAGUUAACACCAUGGUGACUCUUUUUGGUAAGUAAAUCCCCCUGGUCAGUAUUUAAAGGAAAAUGGACCUAUUACCUGUGGAUAUCAUUACCUGUGGAGAUUUGUAUAUUGGUCCCCACAGAAAAUGGCUUCAGGAACUUUGUUUGGAGGGCCUCUAACCAGGGCAGCAUCUAGAGAAUGUAGCUCCAUGGAGAAAUUCCAAAAUGUUCCCCUUCCCUACAUUCCAAAUUCCAUCCCAGCUGUCACAUGUCUCUCCCCAUCACUUCCCCUCUUCCUAAGUCUCUUUUUAUCGCUCCCCUUUAUUUUGUCCUUCCUCAUCCUCUUACCUACCCAGGUCCUGUGGCGUCGACACACAGCAUGAAGGUCUCUUGUGGCCAUCUGUUCCUAUGCCAUCAAUAUUAAAGUGUGACCAGUCAUGGAGAGUUCUGGUCUUUGCAGUCUUCUCAUUGUUGCACUAUUGCAGCCAGGCUCACAGAAGCCUCGGAGGCACAGUCCAUGACCUUUUUGCCUGAGUAUUCAUUCAGUCCGCCCCUGUGGACUGGUAGUGCCAUUGGUGGCGGUGGCAUUUUAACAGCUGCCGGGUUUGUCCACCACUGGUCCAUUGCCUAGCCGCAGAUCACAUUUGGACACCUGAUACCUGUUUUUACACCAUCGUAUUGUGCUGAAAUACAGAGACAUAGUGCAGGCAUUAUAAAAUUUGCAAAAAUCCAUUUCAUGUAAAAUGAGAAUGUUUGCUGUGUUCAGUUUUUACCAUGUACACUAUAAAAGACUGAAGCAUUUAAGCAUAUUCAAUUUUUCUGAAUUCAGGAAGAACCAAGGAAAUGCGUCCAAAGCUGAUAGAAAACUUCAAAAAGUUCUCCCUGGACCAAGGACUGAGUGAAGACAACAUUCUCAUCCUGCCUCACACCGGUAAGAUUGAUCUCCUUGGUCACAAACAACACUCAAUCCCUAUAAUCCACAUAUAGUGUUUACUGACACCCAAUCCAUACAUAAUGUCUACAGAUGCCUAAUCCACACAUAGUGUCUACAGACACCCAGUGCACACAGUGUCUACAGACACCCAAUCCAUACGUAGUGUCUACAGACACCCAAUCCGCACAAAGUGUCUACGGACACUCAAUCCACACAGAGUGUCUACAGACACUCAAUCCACAUAUAGUGUCUACUGACACCCAAUCCAUACAUAAUGUCUACAGACGCCCAAUCCACACAUAAUGUCUACAGAUGCCCAAUCCACACAUAGUGUCUACAGACACCCAAUCCACAUGUAGUGUCUACAGACGCCCAAUCUGCACAAAGUGUCUACGGACACUCAAUCCACAUAUAGUGUCUACUGACACCCAAUCCAUACAUAAUGUCUACAGACGCUCAAUCCACACAUAGUGUCUACAGACACCCAAUUCACAUAUAUUGUCUACAGAUACCCAAACCACACGUAGUGUCUACAGAUGCCCAAUCCGCACACAGUGUCUACAGACACCCAAUCCACACAUGGUGUCUACAGAAGCCCAAUCCAAACAUAGUGUCUACAGAAGCCCAAUCCAAACAUAGUGUCUACAGACACUUAAUCCACACAUACUGUUUAGAGAAGCUCAAUCUACAAUCCACUCAUAGUGUCUACAGACAAUCAACACACAGUGUCUACAGACACCCAAUCCAUACAUAGUGUCUACAGAAACUUAAUCCACACAGUGUCUAGAGAAGCUCAAUCUACAAUCCACACAUAGUGUCUACAGACACCCAAUCCACACAUAGUGUCUGUAACGGAUCACCUGGCACCCCAACUGGGUACCUCCGUUGAAGGAUGCUCCUAGCGCUUCUUGAGGACUCCAAACACUGCAGCAGACACCACAACCACCGAACCGGAGAAGCAUACGAAUGGUCUCAAGCAUAUGAAUGCUGUAAGCAGCUGAACAGGAAAUGCAUACAAUCAGCUUACACUCCUGGCAAUCAGCAUACAAUCCAAUUCCCCCAAUAACGAGACGACACUUCGUUUUGAGGUCAAGCAGAUUUUAUUCACAAUCCACAAACAUAGUACUGCCCACAGGGUUUUUGAAAACAACCAAUAAACACGUACAAUACACUCAGACACUCCCACACAAAAUCCUCCCCUCUGCCUGUGAUACAAUUACCUUACACAAUGGGUAAUUUAAUUAUCACAGGCAGAGAAAUACAGUUUUUCCACAUUAUUCAUAACUUUAAAAGUAUGCAUCACAUUCACAUAAAACUUACGUUUUCCGAAUCAGCAUACUCCAAAUACAAACAUAUGUCCAAAUUGGUCCAUUGGUUCAAAAGAUAGAUCGAAGUCCUUUGUGACCAAAUUAGGCAUGGCUUUUCUGCCCAAAACCAGUUCCACAGAGUCUUCUAUCCUGGAGAUAAUUGAGAAGUAAUCCAAUUAUCUCCAAGGACAGAGGCAAAACUCCAUUAAGCACAUGGCAGUAAAAAGACAGUAAAAUACAAUCAAAUACACAAGGUUACAUUUAUUACAUAAAAUACAGACAUGUAACAUAUCCCCAGAUAGCUUAGUUCUGAGCGCACAUUAUUACUGAAUGGCGAUCAGACCACACCCAUACAGUUCAAUUGCCAUGGAGCCAAAGUCUUUUAUUACACGAAUAGGCUCCAUGGCAUAGCUAUCUGGGUUAAAUGAGUUAAUUCAGUAAAUCCGAGAACCUACCGAACGCCAGGGCAGAAAUACAUGAAUAGACCUUUCUGCAUAGGAAAAUAAAGUAUUUAAAUGCCGGUCCAUAGUAAAAAAGCAGCAGGCAGGCAACCAGGCUCCUCCAGUGCACAGUGGCGAGGAUGGUUCCGCCACAGUGUCUACAGACAUCCAAUCCACACAUAGUGUCUACAGACAUCCAAUCCACACAUAGUGUCUACAGAUGCCCAAUCCAUACAUAGUGUCUACAGACGCCCUUUCCACACAUAGUGUCUACAGACGCCCAAUCCACACUAAGUGUCUACAGACGCCCAAUCCACACAGUGUCUACAGUCACCCAAUCCACACACAGUGUCUACAGAUUCCCAAUCCAUACAUAGUGUCUACAGACACCCAAUCUACAUAUAAUGUCUACAGACCCCCAAUCCACACAUAGUUUCUACAGACCCCCAAUCCACACAUAGUGUCUACAGACAUCCAAUCCACACACAGAGUCUACAGACACCCAAUCAAUACAUAGCGUCUACAGACACUCAAUCCAUACAUAGUGUCUACAGACAAUCCACACAUAGUGUCUACAGACAAUCCACACAUAGAUACAUACAUACAUACAAAAGUAAUUAGGUUUGUUGUGUUCACUGGAGGAGGUCUGCUGUGAAGAGUCUUUCCCAGAGCUGGAAUAAGAGGCAGUCUAAUGGUCAUUUAAUACAUUUAACUUAUACAGGGUAUGAAAAACACAUAAUGUGACACAACCGGCUCCAGCCAUUACUUCCUGUUUAAAAUGUUAUAGAAUAAAAUAGCGACUCCGUCGCGUUAACAGAAAAUGAUUUAAUUUCCUCUGCUUAGAUCUUCCUAAUGAUUUUGUUAUUAUCUUCCAGAUGAAUGCAUGACAGAAAACUAGAUGGUGAGUAUGGCUCAGAGCAUCAGGUCUCCUGGUGUGAUCGUAGAUCCCAAGAAAACAUGGCAUUUAAACAAGCAGAAAAAUAGAGAAUUGUAUUUCAGCAGUUAGUAAACGCACUUUGUAUAAAGUGAUUCUAUCCAAUUUAUUGUAAACUGAUUUUCGUGGAGAUAAAAUCAUGACAUGCGAAAAUUAAAACAAACAAAACAGACAUCUAAACAGUAUUAGCGGACUCACAUGUUACAGGACAGUUAGCCCUGCUCUGUUAUACUGGGAUCCACAGGGGAGGUCAGAACUUAAAGGACCACUCUAGGCACCCAGACCACUUCAGCUUAAUGAGGUGGUCUGGGUGCCAGGUCCAGCUAGGGUUAACCCAUUUUUUCAUAAACAUAGCAGUUUCAGAGAAACUGCUAUGUUUAUGAAUGGGUUAAGCCUUCCCCUAUUUCCUCUAGCGGCUGUCUCAUUGACAGCCACUAGAGGCGCUUGCGUGCUUCUCACUGUGAAAAUCACAGUGAGAGCACGCCAGCGUCCAUAGGAAAGCAUUAAUAAUGCUUUCCUAUGUGACCGCCUCAAUGCGCGCGCAUUCAGCCGACGGGGAGGAGAAGAGGAGGAUCGGAGGAGGAGAGCUCUCCGCCCAGAGCUGGGAAAAGGUAAGUUUUUACCCCUUUCCUCCUUCCAGAGCCGAGUGGGAGGGGGACCCUGAGGGUGGGGGCACCCUCAGGGCACUAUAGUGCCAGGAAAAUAUAGUGGUCCUUUAAUGCCGCACUCACAGUCGCCAUUGUGACGGAGCUCCCGUACUCCGACUGAGUAUCUCCACCAAGUCAGCUUCCUCUCUGCCACCAGGGACUCUGGAGAACUUCAGAACCAGUUGCCGAUUUUUCUCCUCGUUUGUUGCAAAAUUUAUUUUUUUGCCUUCCUUUCGAUCAACAGCAAAAACAGAUGUGAGAAAAGCUGAACUUGAUGGAAUCAAGUCUUUUUUCAGCCUAUGUAACUAUAUAUGUGGGUUGUGAGAACAGGAUUUAAUCUCCUACUCUGGUCUCCACACUACAGAUAAUUUAAUUUAAGAAGUUCCCCCGUUUGCUCAUAUAUUAAUUUCCCAAUGUAAACGCUUUGUUUUGUAUAUUUACACUGCGAGUAGUUUAGAUAUCCAGUACUCUCUACAUUGAAAUAUUAAGCAGGAUUGAUUCUAUUACAAUAUGAGCAGAAUACUCAUUACUGAUUGGGAUUGGAUUAUUUUAAUCAUUUCCUCUCUCGUUUCUCUUUCAGAUCAAAAGACGCACCGCCUGGCAUUUCCUCUAGAUGGCGAGCACGUAGUGAGCUGCAUUAGUACCAUGCUUUGUUCAAUAAAUAAAAAUCUGCAUGAAUCUCUGAGACUGACUGCGCUUUAUUGAAACACACACAUUUACAAAUAACCACAGACUGAUAUAUAGAAAAGAUUAGACGUUAUAGAGCAGCAUACCUCCCAAGUGUCCC